AGCGUGGCCGAGUGGUCUAAGGUGCAGGUUUAAGGCACCAGUCAUUUCGAUGGCGUGGGUUCGUUUUUGAUUUUAUUUUAUUUUAAUAAAAUCAAAGCAUGAAUUGGUAAUAAAUAAUAUAUAUUCUGGGACAGGACUUGUGGGUAGCGUGGCCGAGUUGUCUAAGGCGCUCGUUUAAGGCACCAGUGAUUUUGAUGGCGUGGGUUCGAAUCUCACCGCUGCCAAAUAUGUUAUUACUUUAAUAAAAACAAAGUAUGAAUUGGUAAUAAUUAAUAUAUACUCUGGACAAGACUUGUGGGUAGCGUGGCCGAGUGGUCUAAGGCGCUGGUUUAAGGCACCAGUCAUUUCGAUGGCGUGGGUUUGAAUCCCACCGCUGCCAAGUAUUUUUUUUAUUUUCAUAAAAACAAAGUAUGAAUUGGUAAUAAAUAAUAUACACUCAGCAUUAAUUUCUGUAGGUAGCGUGGCCGAGUGGUCUAAGGCGCUGGUUAAUUUUUGGUGUCUAAGUAUCGCGUGUUGUAAACGAAAUGGCAGAACAUUGCAUCAUUAUUCUUGCAGAAAACAACUUUCAUUUCAACCCAUCGCCUCAUAAUAUUGUACUUGUCGCGCUUUCAUUAAAACGUAAACUUUCCAAUUUUGGAUAAUAAGGCACAUUAACAUUUGAUUUGAACUUUUAAUAUCUUACUCGCCCGUUGCCCAUUUUACGAAAUCAUAAAUGUUUUCGCAGUAGUGUGUUGAAGCAUAUAUUGCAAUAUACGCAAGAGCGUGCGUUUUUUGACUUUAACUCAAUGCCUUUGCUUUCCAGCACAUUAACAUUUAAUUAAUUACACGAAAAAUCCCUUAGUGGUGUUUAUAAUUGAGCGCGGUAGUGGCCACAAACCCGCUUUGUUGUUUACUUAUGAUUUGUUUUUGAUCGAUCUCAAUCGACCAUUUUAGUAAUAGGAUCAAUUAAUACUACACUAAUUAGUUCAUACCAU